rnacentral:piRNA from 1 species
AGCAACCAAGAUGGGGAUAAAGGAUGC